rnacentral:lncRNA from 1 species
GAAACAGAUCCUCACAGAGUAUCUCUGUGUCCCCCUCAGCACCACGUCCACCUUCCACAGGAGGAAGUCAGAGGCCUGAUUUAACCGACAUCCAAAUGUAAAGAUAGACACCGUUAUGGAUUUGAUCUAAUGCUUUAUUAUGUUCAUUGGGCCUCCCCCGCCCCUGCAAUUGCAUGAGAAUUUGCAUGUAAGAUUCAGGCGGUCUCUGCCCCCAGUUGGUUUUGAUUGGUAAAUAAAGUUACCAGCAGCCAAUGGCUGGGUAGGGAGACAGAGGCAGGACUUUAGGAUUCCUGGGCAAGGGUACCAAAGGAGGAAGAAAAGGCAGAGCCACCAUGCCAGAAAGGGAGUAAAGACCAGGCCUGAGAGGUGCAGAAGAGAGAACAUAGCCCACAUAUAAGAGUCAGGGGAAGAGCGGCCCCAGGGGGCUCCCCCAUCCCCAUUGGAUCUAGGGCAGCAAAACUGGAAUAUAGAUUUUAGUAAGUAAUAACUCAGGAAUAUCAGAGGGGAGGUAUUAGCCACGUGGAGGUCUUGGAGUGGCCCUGCCAUUGAACUGUUUAAGGCAUAUUAAAAUAUAAGACUGCUUGUGUGUGUAUCUUUCAUUCAGGAACUCAGAAUAUUGGGGUGGGUAGUGUGAACACGCUGCUGCCAGAUCGACUUGAGCAGGUUUAAUUGGCAUCUGCAACAAGAGCCAGAGUGCACACCAACUGCCUCCACUGAUCACUGCUACAGGAUUGUUUUGUUGGUUGAUUUCUUGAGACAGGGUCUCUCUCUUUGUAGCCCUGGCUGUCCUGGAGCUUACUCUGUAGACCAGGCUGGCCUUGAACUCGAAGAGAUCUGCCUGCCUCUGCCUCCUGAGUGAUGUGAUUAAAGGCGUGUACCACCACCGCCUAGCAGCAUAAAACGAUUUUUAUUGAAGCAGACAUAGUCUAGUUGCGUCCUUAAGUUCUGGGCAGACUUUACACACAGACAAGAGCCUGGGUCUCUUGUCUCUCUAGGCCCACUGCUAUGUGGACAGACCAGGAAAAUCUGAGAGAAGGAAGGAGGAAUAGUGGCCAUGAGGGUUUCCUCUUCAGUCUGCCAACUCUGGCCCCUGGCAUGGAGACCCCUAUGUAUUGUGACUGUCCCUGGGGAUGCCCUGAAACUCAUUGGACAGCUGUUGUGGGUGACCCAAAAAGGCCUCAGAGUAUCAACACUGAGGAUGGCCCAGUGGCUACUGAGCUCCACAGAUGCAGCUGAUUCUGAUCAGUGGGUUCAUUAAUUUUAUUACACUCUAACUAAUUUAAACAAACAUAAGUAGGCUGUGUGUGUCCAGGAGCUGCUGUGCUGGUCAUCACAAGCCCUCACUGUAUACCCACAUCACCACCAUCCAAUAGAUGUAUAGGCCUUAUGGACUGCGGGUGUGGAAGCUCUGAAUGCUUCAGGCGGAUGCCGUCCAGAAUGCAUGACUGAAGCCCUGGGUUUGACGGGCGACCAGACGGUAUGCACAGUACACAAUGUAAUCCCAGCACCAGGGAGGCAGAGCAGAAGAAUUAGAAGUUCAAGGCCAUCCUCAGCUAUGUAUCGAGUUAGAGGCUAGCACGGAAUAUGUGAGACUCUGUCUCAAACAACUAAAAUAGCAUAACUGUGUUGUAUUUAUUAAUAAUCAUAUUGUAUAAGGCUAUAUUGUCUAAGAGUGAAUAAUACUAUAAACAGACCAGCUAGAAGCUGAAGUGGCAUCUUAGCUCAUACAUGGUGACCUCCCAAGACUCUCUCAAGAUUGCCUGGAGUGGGUGGCAGAACGGGCCCUGAGGCAGCCUUCAGAAGAAUGUCUCUCUCUCUCCUGAAUACAUCCUAUCCUGCUACUGAGGAUGCAUUGCAGCAGCAGCUGACAGGGUCUGGGUCACUCAUCCUUGACAUUUCCCCAAGCCCCGGGUACCACCUGUCACACAGGAGACGUUACAAAGGUGUUGUUUAGCAGACUAACAGUUGAAUUCAGAGGUUGUUACUGUUAUAAGCUAGGGGCUUUAGUAACAGAAUGCUUCUGCUCUUUCUCAUAGACUGAAGCCUGAUCCUGGUCUCCUGGCAUUUGUGGAGGACUCUUAAUUAGGUGCAUAUGAGGUUAUGAGGAGGGAGCCCCUGUGAUGGGGGAUCAGUGCCUUCCAGAAGAGGAAGCAGCUGGAGUCUCCCUCUAUCAUGUCAGGACACAGUGAGACAGUAGCUCUCUGUAAUCCUGGAAGAGCCCCUACCAGUUGCAACACAGGGUGUCACCUUGAUCUUGGGCUCCCCAGCCUCCAGAACCGUGAGGAAUAAAUGUGACUUGAGCG